GGCCGACUGGCGAAAUGGCAUCGCGUUUGACUACGACCAACGGCUUGUGUAAUGCUUACGUAAGGUUCGACCCCUGCGUCGGUCA